rnacentral:tRNA from 1 species
GGGGCGUUAGCUCAGUUGGUAGAGCAUCGGACUCUUAAUCCGUAGGUCGAGUGUUCAAGUCACUCACGCCCCACCA